UAGGGAAUCUUCCGCAAUGGACGAAAGUCUGACGGAGCAACGCCGCGUGAGUGAAGAAGGAUUUCGGUUCGUAAAACUCUGUUGUUAGGGAAGAAAAAAUGUAUAGUAACUAUAUACAAAAGAGACGGUACCUAACCAGAAAGCCACGGCUAACUACGUGCCAGCAGCCGCGGUAAUACGUAGGUGGCAAGCGUUGUCCGGAAUUAUUGGGCGUAAAGCGCGCGCAGGUGGUUUAGAAAGUCUGAUGUGAAAGCCCACGGCUCAACCGUGGAGGGUCAUUGGAAACUAAUAAACUUGAGUGCAGGAGAGAAAAGUGGAAUUCCUAGUGUAGCGGUGAAAUGCGUAGAGAUUAGGAAGAAUACCGGUGGCGAAGGCGGCUUUUUGGCCUGCAACUGACACUGAGGCGCGAAAGCGUGGGGAGCAAACAGG
rnacentral:rRNA from 1 species